GACGAACGCUGGCGGCGUGCUUAACACAUGCAAGUCGAACGAUGAACUUGGAGCUUGCUCUGGGGGAUUAGUGGCGAACGGGUGAGUAACACGUGAGUAACCUGCCCUGGACUCUGGGAUAACUUCGAGAAAUCGGAGCUAAUACCGGAUAGGACCUUGCACCGCAUGGUGUGGGGUGGAAAGUUUUUCGGUUUGGGAUGGACUCGCGGCCUACCAGCUUGUUGGUGAGGUAAUGGCUCACCAAGGCGUCGACGGGUAGCGGGCCUGAGAGGGUGACCGGCCACACUGGGACUGAGACACGGCCCAGACUCCUACGGGAGGCAGCAGUGGGGAAUAUUGCACAAUGGGCGCAGGCCUGAUGCAGCAACGCCGCGUGCGGGAUGACGGCCUUCGGGUUGUAAACCGCUUUUAGUAGGGAAGAAGCCUUCGGGUGACGGUACCUGCAGAAAAAGGACCGGCUAACUACGUGCCAGCAGCCGCCGUAACAC
rnacentral:rRNA from 1 species